UACGUAGGGUGCGAGCGUUAAUCGGAAUUACUGGGCGUAAAGCGUACGUAGGCGGCUUUGUAAGUUAGAGGUGAAAGCCCGGGGCUUAACCCCGGAAUUGCCUUUAAGACUGCAUCGCUUGAAUCAUGGAGAGGUGAGUGGAAUUCCGAGUGUAGAGGUGAAAUUCGUAGAUAUUCGGAAGAACACCAGUGGCGAAGGCGACUCACUGGACAUGUAUUGACGCUGAGGUACGAAAGCGUGGGGAGCAAACAGG
rnacentral:rRNA from 1 species